rnacentral:rRNA from 1 species
GACGAACGCUGGCGGCGUGCUUAACACAUUCAAGUCGUACGGUAAGGCGCUUUCGGGGGUACACGAGUGGCGAACGGGUGAGUAAUACGUGAGUAAGCUGCCCACAACGUUGGGAUAAGGCUCGGAAACUGGUGCUAAUACGCGAUAUGUGCUCCUGCGGCAUGGUGGGGGUUCGAAAGCUCCGGCGGUGGUGGCUGGAGUCGCGGGCUAUCAGCUUGGUGGGGGGGAAGUGGCCUCCAGAGGCGGCGAGGGGAAGCGGGACUGAGAGUGUGACAGACGACAUUGGGACUUAGGGACGGCACAGGCGGCUAAGGGUGGCAGCAGGGGGGAAGAUUGCACAAGGCGCGCAGGCUGGAGGCAGAAGCGCCGCGUGUGGGAUGCCGGCCUUCGGGUUGUAAACCGCUUUCAGCAGGGACGAAGCUUUUUGUGACGGUACCUGAAGAAGAAGCACCGGCUAACUACGUG